rnacentral:rRNA from 1 species
GAGGAAAAGAAACCAACAGGGAUUGCCUUAGUAGCGGCGAGUGAAGCGGCAAAAGCUCAAAUUUGAAAUCUGGCUCUUUCAGAGUCCGAGUUGUAAUUUGAAGAAGGUAUCUUUGGGUCUGGCUCUUGUCUAUGUUUCUUGGAACAGAACGUCACAGAGGGUGAGAAUCCCGUGCGAUGAGAUGAUCCAGGCCUAUGUAAAGUUCCUUCGAAGAGUCGAGUUGUUUGGGAAUGCAGCUCUAAGUGGGUGGUAAAUUCCAUCUAAAGCUAAAUAUUGGCGAGAGACCGAUAGCGAACAAGUACAGUGAUGGAAAGAUGAAAAGAACUUUGAAAAGAGAGUGAAAAAGUACGUGAAAUUGUUGAAAGGGAAGGGCUUGAGAUCAGACUUGGUAUUUUGUAUGUUACUUCUUCGGGGGUGGCCUCUACAGUUUAUCGGGCCAGCAUCAGUUUGGGCGGUAGGAGAAUUGCGUUGGAAUGUGGCACGGCUUCGGUUGUGUGUUAUAGCCUUCGUCGAUACUGCCAGCCUAGACUGAGGACU